AUGGUUCUUCGCAAUCUCUUCAACCGCUUCAAAAGACUCGACAAUGAAAAUGUUCAGCAAACUUUCGAUCGCCUCACUGACAUCUCAAAUGAGCUUCAAGCGCUUGGCGCCACUGACAUCACCGACCAUGAGGUGGUGAAGAAAUUGCUGAGAUCGCUAGAUUCCUCAUUUGAUACUCUAGCACUGAUGAUUCAAGAGCGAGCUGAUUACAAUUCACUAGAUCCAGCUGAUAUCCUCGAGAGGCUAAAUACUCAUGAGUUCCAGGCUAUUGAAAAACUUCAAAACAUGCUAGACAAAAGUGAUGAUAUGUUGGGUGAUGAAAUGGACCGCACUAAAGACUUAACUAAAAAUCUUCAGAGACUUCAGUCUAAGUUU
rnacentral:rRNA from 1 species